UGUCCAGACAGUGGAAGAGGUGGUCAUGU
rnacentral:piRNA from 1 species